rnacentral:rRNA from 1 species
UACCACGGAGUCUAGCAUGUGUGCGAGUCAUUGGGUUCGAUCGUAACAGAUGAAACCGAAAGGCGUAACGAAAGUGAAGGCGGGCGCUCGCCGUCCGCUCAGGGAGGAUGGAGCCGUGAUCUCGGUCUACGGUUCUCGCACUCCCGAGGCGUCUCGUUUCCAAUCAGUGAAUGCAGGCGCGCUCUGAGCACAGAUGCUGGGACCCGAAAGAUGGUGAACUAUGCCUGGUCAGGUCGAAGUCAGGGGAAACCCUGAUGGAGGACCGUAGCGAUUCUGACGUGCAAAUCGAUCGUCGGAACUGGGUAUAGGGGCGAAAGACUAAUCGAACCAUCUAGUAGCUGGUUCCGUCCGAAGUUUCCCUCAGGAUAGCUGGCGUCGAUGUUUGAACAGUCUCAUCCGGUAAAGCGAAUGAUUAGAGGCAUUGGGGCCGAAACGACCUCAACCUAUUCUCAAACUUUAAAUGGGUGAGAGCUCCGGCUUACUCGAACGAUGAAGCCGGAGAUCUGAUGACGGUGCCAAGUGGGCCAAUUUUGGUAAGCAGAACGGCGCUGUGGGAUGAACCAAACGUAGUGUUAAGGCGCCUAAAAAACGCUCAUGGGACACCAUGAAAGGCGUUGGUCGCUCAUGACAGCAGGACGGUGGCCAUG